CCCUCUGCCGGCGGAGCAGCGCCGUGUGGCGGAGGUGAGCGAUUCCUCCGCAGAGCCGCGGCGCGCGGUGCGUGACUCAGCGCUGCUCUCGGAGGUGCGGCGGCCCGCGCAGGCGCUGGCCUCAAGAAGCUCUGUGGCUGUCGGCAGUAACCGACCUGUGGCUCUCUAGAGGAAUUGGGACUGACUGUUCUUCGGUGAGAAACCUGCCAGAAAGACGAACUUAAACUGAGGUGAUGCGCGUUUUUAACAAGCGAUCUCCUCCCUCUGGCAGUGCUCAGUGUGCAACCGUCUGCGUUGCAUGGGAAAAUCGCGCAGGGACUCCCGGAAGGAGCAGCUCGGUGCACAAAGCACUGCAGCGAUGCCCUGCGCCGGGACGAGGCCUGCGCUUUGCCCAGCCCCGCUCCAGCACAUGCAGGCUCCUGCAGGAUUGGGAACUGCGCAUCGGUUCAUUGCAGUGUUGCAGUGUUGCAAUGCCUAAAGCCCUUCAGAAAGCAAAGCUCCUGGCGCCUUUGCUGCCUGUUUGGAUACCUCCAUUUCCAGCUGCUGGUGACAUGUUUCCCGUGGGCUGCUCAGACACCAGCUGCCUCUCGGUGUGAGGAACUCUGUGCAGCUGCUAUGUGCCGCCCAGAAUGCAGCGAGCCGAUGCGACGCUGGGGCACAGCAGCAGAACACUGCUUUCCUCCCCUGUACAGUCAGCUCGAGAAUGCUGACGGCAGCAAAUGUCCUCCUGCCUAAAUACCCAGGAGCUGUUAUCAGUGAGGGGCAGAAGGUGAAGCUUUGGGCUCUGGCAUCAUCCCAAGUGGUGCCAGCCGCUCUGCCAGCACGGGGCGGCCCUGCAGAGACGUGGCAGCACUCUGUGUUGUGGAGGAAAGGUUGGCCUGAAGAGAUCCGUCGGCAGCAACGGCACGUUCAUCACUCAGCAGGUUUUAAUAACUGUAGUCACUAUUGGCACGUCGUGCUGAAGACCAAAGCUAAUGAAUCUCCAUUCACACCCGGGGCAUGAAGUGCUCCAGACCCAAGCACUGUGUGGGGAUGCAGGGGCUGCCGACCUCUGCUCUGCUUUCCUUCCACUGCUUUCCCCAAAGCACGGAGUGGCGGUGAGCGGCGUCAGUAAAAUGCUGACACUGGAAGCGGUGUCUGCAGCUCUGCCUGCUGCUCAGUGCGUUUGCCGUGCAAAACUCCACCGAAGCUUCUGGAGGCUGCAUGCAGUCCAGAGCAGUUUCUGGAACCAGAGGCAAAGCUGUAUUUCGUGCUGCCGUGUCUUCAGCCACCAGUAUUUGCUCAGGUCUGUGAAGCAGGAGCAGCAGCACCUCUCUCAGGGGACCUCCUUGUUUUCCUCUCCAUGCAUGAGUCUGGCAGCCACAGGGCAGCACAGAGAAUUAAAAAUGGGCUCCUGCAGGAGGAUGAGAGGCUGGGAGCCUGCUAAUUAUAGCUCUGUCCAGAAACCCACCUGCAGCCUAAAGGCAGAUCACACUGUGUGCCUGAGGACAGGCACCUCGUGCUGUCAGUGGGACUCCCACUGGGUUUUCAGGAGCUCUGCAGCCCCGUGUGCAGCACUGCUGAGCCCGGCUGCCAUCCUGGAUGAGCAUUUUUUUCCAGACUUAACUCUUCUUUAUUGUGUGUAAACUAAAGUCCAUUUCCACCCUCUCCAGUGGCCCUGCAGCUGGCAGCAUUACCUCAGAUACCUCCAGAACGUCGUCUUUGGAAGCUGGUGUUAAGUGAUGUUGGAAACAUCUCCUCUGCAGGAGCAGCAUUUUCGUCCUUCAUUGUGCAGCACACUGUGAGGCUUUGUGAGCCCAUGCAGGCACAGGUGAAUGGGAUCCCUGUUAUACCAUAAAUAAUGCAAAAGUUGUAACUGGCCCAUGAUAUGAGCAUGCUGCACCACGCUGCUCAGGAAGGUCUGCCAGGAACGUCUGCUUAAGCAGAGCUGUGAUUUGUUGAAACAACACUGCCCAUCAGAGACCAAUAUAGCAGGUUAACUGUAGCAGGAAGACUGGGAUUCUGGCUGGCUGUGGAGCAUGAACAGCCUGCCCACAGGUGGAAGCAGCCAGCAUGUUCCUCAAUGCUUCUGCCAAACUAAAUGAGCAGCAGUGGUGAGAAACAUGAUCUCCUCGAGGGAGGAAGCAGGAGAUGUGCUUCCAUUGCUCAGCAGAUUUGAAAGAGCAGCAGAGAUCAAUGCUGGCUCGUCUGUCACAGUGUACAUCAUUGCUUGCCCGUGUUUCAAGGACCUGGAGCUUUUUUGAGAGCUCUGCAUAUGAUGAAAGUUUUCCCCAUAGAAACAGCUCAAUCUCACAUGAAACUAUCCAGCAUUAUCACGUUGGGCUUGGGACUCACAGAACCCGAGUUCAAGCGUUUUGCCAACAACCCCCUCUGCAGUUUUAGGUUGCUCACUUAUGCUGUUACCUGCUGCUCACCUAUGGAGUUGCAGAAGGUGUUCCCCAGCCCUGCACCCUGCCUCUAGCAGCAGGGAGGGCUGCUGCGUGCAGUGGCUGUGAGCUGGGGGGUCGGGAUGCAUUCACAGUGCACUUCUGUAGCACGGUGCCAAAGCCCAACAUCUGCUUCCCAGUGAUUUUUUCCAUUCGCAACCAUGUUAUUUCUCAUCUGUGAUUGCAGAGCUCGGGUGUUUACCAGCACCACGUGCUCAAAGACAUGGACCUACAUUUUUUAGAUUCUUUCUGUGAAAUACAACCCUGUUUCCAGACAGGAUGCAGUGUUGGCAGAAGUGCAGAUUUCUCACAUGAGGAACAGAGCCUGCAGGUCUCAGGGCCGCUGUGCCGCACUGUGGAUCCGAAGCACCACACACCAGGAGAGCUUUGCGUGCUGCUGGGGAACUGGGACCCACAGAGCCCAUGGAUAACCUGAUCCCAAGUCAGGUAAUGCUUCUUGGGGCAACACUUCCACAGCUGUGAUGAGAUAUAUAUACGGCUUCAUAUAUAUAGCACUGUAAGGUUCCACUGUCAUUUACUGGUAAGUGCAAAUAAAUCUGUUUCUUUGGCUGCAGGAGCACACAGGGCAGCUGGAGAGGCUGUAAAAUAACUCCUGUGCAGCCAGAUCCCAUUCAGUGAAUUCUCACAGCCCACACAGAGCUGUUUCCCAGUGACUUCUGUGCAGCCACAGGCAGCCAACAAGUUGCUGCACACCACUGCACACUGCUACACACUGCUGCUCACUGCUGCACACUACAGCACGAUGCUGCACACUGCUGCAUGCCUCUGCUACACUGCUACACAGCACCGCACGCUGCUGCACACCGCCGCGUGGCUUCUGAACCAGGAACCAGCUGUGGAGCUCACAUCACUGCUGCAAAGCCAUGCUGGGCCAUGUUGUGCAGGACUGAGCCCCACAGACCUCGUUUCACUGACUCACAUGGUAACAUGGUAACGUUUUUCUCUUUAACAUUUCCAGUAACAUUGCAACACAUUUCACAGAAUGCUAUUUAAGGUCAUGCCCUUGGCAGUUUGGUACUAAAACCUCACAACUGUAAUUUUCCACUACUCAGAGCAAAGCGAUUUGGGAAAGGCUGUGAUGCAGGCAGGGAAAGGGUUGGGAGCACGCAGGUGCUUCCAUGGGGGAAAUGCCCUUCCAAGCACACGGGAAGCACUCGGUGCCGGGCAGAACAUGCUGGUACCUGAGCAGGGCACUGCCAGUGCACAAAGAAAACUGGGGGAAUGCUUCUAUGUUGGGAUGUAACUCUGAACGGAAAAGGUCUUCCAGAAGUUGGCUCCAGGCCCUCAUGCUUCUUCAGGUGCCGUAAUACAAUGAGGUUCCCAGGCAGAGUGCUAACAACUGAACGCCGGCAGGGCGCAGUUCCAGCAGGGCUGUUGGGACCAUUCCCCACUGAGCCACAGCCCCCGGCUGCUGCAGGGGAUCCGUUCCUGGGAGGCACUGUUGGCACACGCAGCACACGGCCCUGCUGGCCCUGCUCCUCUCACUGCAGCCCCCAUCGCCAGGCAAACUGCUCCAUCCACUCUGGGCUUUAACCUCUGUCAUCAUAUCAACCUGAUUUUCUGCUAAAAGGAAAAUGAAAUGUGUCUUUCUGGCUCCACUUUGCAAAAGACAAAGAACUAAGAGUAUGUGUGACAUGACAAAACCUCCAUCUAACCUUCUCCUUGGGCAUUAUUAAUAGUAAAUGCAUAUUGGGUGGUUUCGCAACGACCUUGAGAGCAAGUGACACAUCUCAUCUACCAGGGCGCAGUUCUCCAGGCAUUUUGGAAAAGGAAAUCCUUAUUUUUAUUAACUUAUGGGAGAAAAAGAAAAGCACUAUCUUGUGCAUGCAGUUUUUUCCAAUGUCCCAAAACGCCCAACACAGAGAUGCCCGCUGGUUUUGGUGGCUUACCUGCAAGCACUGUAUUUACUGUGAGCAAAUGAAGAAGAAAUAAAAUUCAACUUCGACCUCCUUUCAAUUUGCAAGUUAUGAAAAAUGCUUCUAGAAGGGAGCUAAUAAACGUGAUGGAUGUG